GACUAUCAACAUUGAUUAGGCAUCCCAUGCACCAUAAUCACUACAGUGAGCUGUAGCAUUUAUGGUGCUUGGAGUGUUUCAAAAAGCCUUAAAAGGCAUUGAUCAUAAUUACUACCGGAACACACCUGGGAAACAUCCUAACAUAUACAUCAGAACAACCAAGGACCAUCUCAUUUUCUGGAUGAAAAUGAAGAUGACUUUUCAAUACAUUUCUCUCCUGAUAAUGUAUAAGAAAGUGUAAAUCUCUAACUAUGGUACUUUCAUGUAUAUACUUUCUUCAAUGUAUAUAAAGAAUUUUAAAUGGUCUAAGCAAAAGCCACAAUUUGGAAGCUGGCUUCAUCCACA